GUGAUUAUCUUUUUCUUUUAAGAAGAAAUAAAAAGAGAAUUGAUUGUAGAAGGAUUAACAAGAAAUAGAAUAGCAAAAAAAAAUCAAAAGUAUAAAUUAAAUUAUGAAAGAAAAUAAUUCAAAAAAAUAAUCCAGGAAUUCUGAAUCCACCAUGCAAAGAGAUUUAUUUUCUUCUUUUUUUCUAUAUUAUAAUAUUUAAUUCUUGUAAUUA
rnacentral:lncRNA from 1 species